UCAACUGCGUGAUAGGAGAUGGAGCCAGGUGGGUGGCGGGCUCUGCUUCCAGGGAACAAGGGACAGGGCAAGAAGACAUAGUCUUAAAUGUGCCAGAAAAGGUUUCAUCGUAUUUAAGGAGGAAUUACUUUCCAUAAAGGGUGAUGAGAUAUUAGAAUGGGGUACUCGUGUGUGGUAGAUUCACUGUGGCAGGAGGUGUUCCAGCUAAGCCUGAGUGUGACACUCAGGGCUGAUCUGGUUGCCACUGGUGGAGCUGGGUCCCAGGUUGGACUCAGUGAUCUCACAGAGCUCUUCCACCUCAAUUGAUUCCAUGAUUCUGUGACAUCCCGGCCUUUGGGGACAGCACGGUGGCUGAUGAGUGUCCCCAGCCCAUCGCCGUGCCCAGAGGCCAGGCAGAAGUGGCUGGGAAGGACGGGCAGAGCCUGCUGAGGGUGGCAGCUUGGCCUUGAGCAGCAGCAUGGGCAGCCAGGGGCUCUCCCGGCUGCUGCAGCUCUCGGUGCUGCUGCUCUCGGUGCAGCCACUGGAGCCUUCCAGCCCCGCUGCCAGGGACUCGGGGGCCUGGGAUGCGCUUCCCGAGCUCCUGGAAGAGCGGGACAGGACGUGGCGCCCAUGAGGGAGCCGCUGCGGAGAGGUCUUCGAGUCUGAGCAAGGCCUGAAGAAAUUAGCUUCUUCUGAUUAAAAAAACAUAGAUUCUUCUUCUUUGGAAGAUUUA